UACGAAGUGGGCUAGCGUUGUUCGGAUUUACUGGGCGUAAAGCGCACGUAGGCGGAUCGAUCAGUCAGGGGUGAAAUCCCAGAGCUCAACUCUGGAACUGCCUUUGAUACUGUCGAUCUGGAGUAUGGAAGAGGUGAGUGGAAUUCCGAGUGUAGAGGUGAAAUUCGUAGAUAUUCGGAGGAACACCAGUGGCGAAGGCGGCUCACUGGUCCAUUACUGACGCUGAGGUGCGAAAGCGUGGGGAGCAAACAGG
rnacentral:rRNA from 1 species